rnacentral:rRNA from 1 species
UGAAUUCAUCUCCGGGGGUAGAGCACUGUUUCGGCUAGGGGGCCAUCCCGGCUUACCAACCCGAUGCAAACUGCGAAUACCGGAGAAUGUUAUCACGGGAGACACACGGCGGGUGCUAACGUCCGUCGUGAAGAGGGAAACAACCCAGACCGCCAGCUAAGGUCCCAAAGUCAUGGUUAAGUGGGAAACGAUGUGGGAAGGCCCAGACAGCCAGGAUGUUGGCUUAGAAGCAGCCAUCAUUUAAAGAAAGCGUAAUAGCUCACUGGUCGAGUCGGCCUGCGCGGAAGAUGUAACGGGGCUAAACCAUGCACCGAAGCUGCGGCAGCGACGCUGAUGCGUUGUUGGGUAGGGGAGCGUUCUGUAAGCCUGUGAAGGUGGCCUGUGAGGGUUGCUGGAGGUAUCAGAAGUGCGAAUGCUGACAUAAGUAACGAUAAAGCGGGUGAAAAGCCCGCUCGCCGGAAGACCAAGGGUUCCUGUCCAACGUUAAUCGGGGCAGGGUGAGUCGACCCCUAAGGCGAGGCCGAAAGGCGUAGUCGAUGGGAAACGGGUUAAUAUUCCCGUACUUGGUGUUACUGCGAAGGGGGGACGGAGAAGGCUAUGUUGGCCGGGCGACGGUUGUCCCGGUUUAAGCGUGUAGGUGUGUGUUCCAGGUAAAUCCGGUUCACUUUAACACUGAGGCGUGAUGACGAGGCACUACGGUG